UAAGCGACUAAGCGUACACGGUGGAUGCCCUGGCAGUCAGAGGCGAUGAAGGACGUGCUAAUCUGCGAAAAGCGUCGGUAAGGUGAUAUGAACCGUUAUAACCGGCGAUGUCCGAAUGGGGAAACCCAGUGUGAUUCGUCACACUAUCGUUAACUGAAUACAUAGGUUAACGAGGCGAACCGGGGGAACUGAAACAUCUAAGUACCCCGAGGAAAAGAAAUCAACCGAGAUUCCCCCAGUAGCGGCGAGCGAACGGGGAGCAGCCCAGAGUCUGAAUCAGCUUGUGUGUUAGUGGAACGGUCUGGAAAGUCCGACGGUACAGGGUGAUAGUCCCGUACACCAAAAUGCACAGGCUGUGAACUCGAAGAGUAGGGCGGGACACGUGGUAUCCUGUCUGAAUAUGGGGGGACCAUCCUCCAAGGCUAAAUACUCCUGACUGACCGAUAGUGAACCAGUACCGUGAGGGAAAGGCGAAAAGAACCCCGGCGAGGGGAGUGAAAAAGAACCUGAAACCGUGUACGUACAAGCAGUGGGAGCACCUUCGGGUGUGACUGCGUACCUUUUGUAUAAUGGGUCAGCGACUUAUAUUCUGUAGCAAGGUUAACCGUAUAGGGGAGCCGCAGGGAAACCGAGUCUUAACUGGGCGUUAAGUUGCAGGGUAUAGACCCGAAACCCGGUGAUCUAGCCAUGGGCAGGUUGAAGGUUGGGUAACACUAACUGGAGGACCGAACCGACUAAUGUUGAAAAAUUAGCGGAUGACUUGUGGCUGGGGGUGAAAGGCCAAUCAAACCGGGAGAUAGCUGGUUCUCCCCGAAAGCUAUUUAGGUAGCGCCUCGUGAACUCAUCUUCGGGGGUAGAGCACUGUUUCGGCUAGGGGGUCAUCCCGACUUACCAACCCGAUGCAAACUACGAAUACCGAAGAAUGUUAUCACGGGAGACACACGGCGGGUGCUAACGUCCGUCGUGAAGAGGGAAACAACCCAGACCGCCAGCUAAGGUCCCAAAGUCAUGGUUAAGUGGGAAACGAUGUGGGAAGGCACAGACAGCCAGGAUGUUGGCUUAGAAGCAGCCAUCAUUUAAAGAAAGCGUAAUAGCUCACUGGUCGAGUCGGCCUGCGCGGAAGAUGUAACGGGGCUAAACCAUGCACCGAAGCUGCGGCAGCGACACUAUGUGUUGUUGGGUAGGGGAGCGUUCUGUAAGCCUGCGAAGGUGUGCUGUGAGGCAUGCUGGAGGUAUCAGAAGUGCGAAUGCUGACAUAAGUAACGAUAAAGCGGGUGAAAAGCCCGCUCGCCGGAAGACCAAGGGUUCCUGUCCAACGUUAAUCGGGGCAGGGUGAGUCGACCCCUAAGGCGAGGCCGAAAGGCGUAGUCGAUGGGAAACAGGUUAAUAUUCCUGUACUUGGUGUUACUGCGAAGGGGGGACGGAGAAGGCUAUGUUAGCCGGGCGACGGUUGUCCCGGUUUAAGCAUGUAGGCUGGUUAUCCAGGCAAAUCCGGAUAAUCAAGGCUGAGGUGUGAUGACGAGGCACUACGGUGCUGAAGUAACAAAUGCCCUGCUUCCAGGAAAAGCCUCUAAGCAUCAGGUAACAUUAAAUCGUACCCCAAACCGACACAGGUGGUCAGGUAGAGAAUACCAAGGCGCUUGAGAGAACUCGGGUGAAGGAACUAGGCAAAAUGGUGCCGUAACUUCGGGAGAAGGCACGCUGGUGUGUAGGUGAAGUCCCUGCGGAUGGAGCUGAGACCAGUCGAAGAUACCAGCUGGCUGCAACUGUUUAUUAAAAACACAGCACUGUGCAAACACGAAAGUGGACGUAUACGGUGUGACGCCUGCCCGGUGCCGGAAGGUUAAUUGAUGGGGUUAUCCGUAAGGAGAAGCUCUUGAUCGAAGCCCCGGUAAACGGCGGCCGUAACUAUAACGGUCCUAAGGUAGCGAAAUUCCUUGUCGGGUAAGUUCCGACCUGCACGAAUGGCGUAAUGAUGGCCAGGCUGUCUCCACCCGAGACUCAGUGAAAUUGAACUCGCUGUGAAGAUGCAGUGUACCCGCGGCAAGACGGAAAGACCCCGUGAACCUUUACUAUAGCUUGACACUGAACAUUGAGCCUUGAUGUGUAGGAUAGGUGGGAGGCUUUGAAGCGUGGACGCCAGUCUGCGUGGAGCCAACCUUGAAAUACCACCCUUUAAUGUUUGAUGUUCUAACGUUGGCCCCUGACCGGGGUUGCGGACAGUGUCUGGUGGGUAGUUUGACUGGGGCGGUCUCCUCCCAAAGCGUAACGGAGGAGCACGAAGGUUAGCUAAUCCUGGUCGGACAUCAGGAGGUUAGUGCAAUGGCAUAAGCUAGCUUGACUGCGAGCGUGACGGCGCGAGCAGGUGCGAAAGCAGGUCAUAGUGAUCCGGUGGUUCUGAAUGGAAGGGCCAUCGCUCAACGGAUAAAAGGUACUCCGGGGAUAACAGGCUGAUACCGCCCAAGAGUUCAUAUCGACGGCGGUGUUUGGCACCUCGAUGUCGGCUCAUCACAUCCUGGGGCUGAAGUAGGUCCCAAGGGUAUGGCUGUUCGCCAUUUAAAGUGGUACGCGAGCUGGGUUUAGAACGUCGUGAGACAGUUCGGUCCCUAUCUGCCGUGGGCGCUGGAGAAUUGAGGGGGGCUGCUCCUAGUACGAGAGGACCGGAGUGGACGCAUCACUGGUGUUCGGGUUGUCAUGCCAAUGGCACUGCCCGGUAGCUAAAUGCGGAAGAGAUAAGUGCUGAAAGCAUCUAAGCACGAAACUUGCCCCGAGAUGAGUUCUCCCUGAGACUUUAAGUCUCCUGAAGGAACGUUAAAGACGAUGACGUUGAUAGGCCGGGUGUGUAAGCGCAGCGAUGCGUUGAGCUAACCGGUACUAAUGAACCGUGAGGCUUAACCU
rnacentral:rRNA from 1 species